rnacentral:rRNA from 1 species
UGUUAGGUAGGAGGCAGCGGCCGGUGUAGUGAGGAGGGGGCAGGCGGUUUCUGGAAGCAGUGGGGGUAAAGCGCGGGUAGGGGGCCCUGGAAGUCCGGUGGGAAAGGCAAAGGGUGAACCUUGGAAAGCCGAUGGAUACUGCAGGGCUAGAGUCCGGAAGAGGCGAGUGGAAUUCCUGGUGUAGCGGUGGAAUGCGCAGAUAUCAGGAGGAACACCAAUAGCGAAGGCAGCUCGCUGGGACGGUACUGACGCUAAGGCGCGAAAGCGUGGGGAGCGAACAGGAUUAGAUACCUAGUAGUC